AUCAUUCAGUUGGGCACUUUAGAGAGACUGCCGGUGUUAAGCCGGAGGAAGGUGGGGAUGACGUCAAGUCCUCAUGGCCUUUAUGUCUAGGGCUACACACGUGCUACAAUGGGUGGUACAAAGAGCAGCUAACUCGCGAGAGUAUGCAAAAUCUCAAAAAGCCAUCCUCAGUUCGGAUUGGAGUCUGCAACUCGACUCCAUGAAGUUGGAAUCGCUAGUAAUCGCGGAUCAGCAUGCCGCGGUGAAUACGUUCCCGGGCCUU
rnacentral:rRNA from 1 species